AAUGAAUCAGCUCUUCAAUAUAAAGGGUAUGCAAAAAACUUGGAAUAGUGAAAAAAGUUUGUGAUUAGCUACUUGUGGGUUUGGUUUUAGUGUUGGUGGCGUGGGAGGUUAGCCGAGAAGCCUUGAAAACUGUGUAUUGCCUCCUUAAGGGUCUAGGCCUCAGUUUGUACGGCAUUGUAUUGUUAUCGUUAUCGUGGCACAAGUGAUAAACAUCUGUAGCAUCUUCCUUAGUUAGACGUUGAAAAGUUCUGUUUCCGGAGGGUUGAUUCUGUUUGUGAUUAGCUACUUGUGGGUUUGGUUUUAGUGUUGGUGGCGUGGGAGGUUAGCCGAGAAGCCUUGGAAACUGUGUAUUGCCUCCUCAGU